AUUGAACGCUGGCGGCAGGCCUAACACAUGCAAGUCGAGCGAGCGGCGGACGGGUGAGUAAUGUCUGGGAAACUGCCUGAUGGAGGGGGAUAACUACUGGAAACGGUAGCUAAUACCGCAUACCAUCAGAUGUGCCCAGAUGGGAUUAGCUAGUAGGUUGGGUAACGGCUCACAUAGGAGACGAUCCCUAGCUGGUCUGAGAGGCUGACCAGGCCCACUGGAACUGAGACACGGUCCAUACUCCUACGUGAGGCAGCAGUGGUGAAUAGUGCACAAUGGGCGCAAGCCUGAUGCAGCCAUGCCGCGUGUGUGAAGAAGGCCUUCGGGUUGUAAAGCACUUUCAGCGGGGAGGCGUUACCCGCAGAAGAAGCACCGGCUAACUCCGUGCCAGCAGCCGCGGUAAUUC
rnacentral:rRNA from 1 species